GAUGAAGAACGUAGCGAAAUGCGAUAAGUAAUGUGAAUUGCAGAAUUCAGUAAAUCAUCGAAUCUUUGAACGCACAUUGCGCCCGCCAGUAUUCUGGCGGGCAUGCCUGUUCGAGCGUCAUUACAACCCUCAGGCCCCCGGGCCUGGCGUUGGGGAUCGGCGGAGCCCCCCGUGGGCACACGCCGUCCCCCAAAUACAGUGGCGGUCCCGCCGCAGCUUCCAUCGCGUAGUAGCUAACACCUCGCGACUGGAGAGCGGCGCGGCCACGCCGUAAAACACCCAACUCUUCUGAAGUUGACCUCGAAUCAGGUAGGAAUACCCGCUGAACUUAAGCAUAUCAAUAAGCGGAGGA
rnacentral:misc_RNA from 1 species